rnacentral:rRNA from 1 species
UACGUAGGGGGCUAGCGUUGUCCGGAAUCAUUGGGCGUAAAGAGCGUGUAGGCGGUCCGGUAAGUCCGCUGUGAGAGUCGGGGGCUCAACCCUCGAAUGCCGGUGGAUACUGUCGGGCUAGAGUGCGGAAGAGGCGAGUGGAAUUCCUGGUGUAGCGGUGAAAUGCGCAGAUAUCAGGAGGAACACCUAUUGCGAAGGCAGCUCGCUGGGACGUUACUGACGCUGAGACGCGAAAGCGUGGGGAGCAAACAGG